rnacentral:rRNA from 1 species
AGUGAACGCUGGCGGUAGGCCUAACACAUGCAAGUCGAACGGCAGCACAGUAAGAGCUUGCUCUUACGGGUGGCGAGUGGCGGACGGGUGAGGAAUACAUCGGAAUCUACUUUUUCGUGGGGGAUAACGGAGGGAAACUUACGCUAAUACCGCAUACGACCUACGGGUGAAAGUAGGGGAUCUUCGGACCUUGCGCGACUGAAUGAGCCGAUGUCGGAUUAGCUAGUUGGCGGGGUAAAGGCCCACCAAGGCGACGAUCCGUAGCUGGUCUGAGAGGAUGAUCAGCCACACUGGAACUGAGACACGGUCCAGACUCCUACGGGAGGCAGCAGUGGGGAAUCUUGGACAAUGGGCGCAAGCCUGAUCCAGCCAUACCGCGUGAGUGAAGAAGGUCUUCGGGUCGUAAAGCCCUUUUGUUGGGAAAGAACAGCAGCAGGUUAAUCCCCCGCUGUUCUGACGGUACCUAAAGAAUAAGCACCGGCUAACUUCGUG